GCCAGGCAUGGUGGCGGGCGCCUGUAAUCCCAGCUACUCGGGAGGCUAAGGCAGGAGAAUCGCUUGAACCCGGGAGGCUGAAGUUGCAGUGAGCCAAGAUUGUGCCACUGAACUGCAGCCUGGGUGACAGAGUGAGACUCCGUCUCAA
rnacentral:SRP_RNA from 1 species